ACUGCCUGAUGGAGGGGGGUAACUACUGGAAACGGUAGCUAAUACCGCAUAACGUCGCAAGACCAAAGAGGGGGACCUUCGGGCCUCUUGCCAUCGGAUGUGCCCAGAUGGGAUUAGCUAGUAGGUAGGGUAACGGCUCACCUAGGCGACGAUCCCUAGCUGGUCUGAGAGGAUGACCAGCCACACUGGAACUGAGACACGGUCCAG
rnacentral:rRNA from 1 species